GCUUAGCCCAGAUUGAACGACUUGUUUGAGCUCUUUUUGAGUUGCUGAUUUUUAUCAGCAACUCAAAAAAGCGAGUAGUGAAAGCUGGAAACAGC
rnacentral:misc_RNA from 1 species